rnacentral:sRNA from 1 species
AGCGCGGGGUGGUUGCAAUGUUUAUGGAUAUAGUUGUUUUUGCCGGCAUUGGUACAGUUGCCCUUAUGGUUGCUUUCUUUGUUGGUUUAUUUUAUUUCGUUAGAAAGGUUGAGCAGGAUCGCAAGUCAAACUGAUCCUUUCUAGCAGCAUGAGCACGCAAGGCAAUUUGGGCAACUUUGGUUGCCCUUUUUUUU